UACGGAGGGUGCGAGCGUUGUCCGGAAUCACUGGGCGUAAAGGGCGCGUAGGCGGUGCGAGAAGCGUGUGGUGAAAGGCCGGGGCUCAACUCCGGCUCGGCCGUGCGGACUCUCGCGCUUUGUGAGUGCUGUAGAGGCGGGCGGAAUUCCGGGUGUAGCGGUGAAAUGCGCAGAUAUCAGGAGGAACACCGAUGGCGAAGGCAGCACUCUGGGACGGUACUGACGCUGAGACGCGAAAGCGUGGGGAGCAAACAGG
rnacentral:rRNA from 1 species